rnacentral:rRNA from 1 species
AUUGAACGCUGGCGGCAGGCUUAACACAUGCAAGUCGAGCGGGGUGAUGGUGCUUGCACUAUCACUUAGCGGCGGACGGGUGAGUAAUGCUUAGGAAUCUGCCUAUUAGUGGGGGACAACAUCUCGAAAGGGAUGCUAAUACCGCAUACGUCCUACGGGAGAAAGCAGGGGAUCACUUGUGACCUUGCGCUAAUAGAUGAGCCUAAGUCGGAUUAGGUAGUUGGUGGGGUAAAGGCCUACCAAGGCGACGAUCUGUAGCGGGUCUGAGAGGAUGAUCCGCCACACUGGGACUGAGACACGGCCCAGACUCCUACGGGAGGCAGCAGUGGUGAAUAUUGGACAAUGGGGGGAACCCUGAUCCAGCCAUGCCGCGUGUGUGAAGAAGGCCUUAUGGUUGUAAAGCACUUUAAGCGAGGAGGAGGCUCUUUUGGUUAAUACCCAAGAUGAGUGGACGUUACUCGCAGAAUAAGCACCGGCUAACUCUGUGCCAGCCGCCGCAGUAA